rnacentral:misc_RNA from 1 species
AAAAAAAAAAAAAAAAAAACACUCUCUUCAAUCUCUACCCAAGGAGGGAGAUUAAGAGAUUUCUAAAACGCUAAAGAAACACUAUAUCUAACCCCAACCCAAGAAUAUCUCGAAAUCCGCCAAACACAGGUGGAAAACACUGAAUCAAAACCAUCAAAUCCAUCAAUAUCUCCGCUACCUAAUAACGAUUAUUAUUAUUAUUACUAAUUUUCACGCAAUCCCCAGAAGAAAAUUCUUUAAAAAAAAGAAAAUUCUUUAAAAAAAAAAAAAUUCUACAGACCUAAAAUGAAGAGGAAUGGAAGGGAACCUUCAAGGAGUACCUUGUAGGAAUAGUAUCGAGGAAGUGAGAAGCAGCAGAGGCGAUGGUGCCGAUCAUUUCCAUCAUAUUAUCACCAUCGUCAACAACCUCCAUUUUUUUUUUCUACUAGAUUUUUUUUCGCCCUUGUUCUGCUGCUCUUGUGUGUUCCGUCAAAAGAAACAGAGAGAUAACUGCGGUUUACGUGAAUAGAAAGAAGAAAAAAGAGACGCAAUGCAGCCUCUGAUUAGAAGGCGUCUUGAAACAGUAGAAGCCUCCACUAGACAAAUCUUAC